GGCUCAAUGGUCUAGUGGUAGGAUACUCGCUUCGGGCCUAUACGAUGCCAAUCGUGGAUCCCAUCUCAUGGAAUGAGAUAUUGUGAGUGGUCCCGGGUUCAAAUCCCGGUUGAGCCC